rnacentral:tRNA from 1 species
UGCAGGAUGGAGCAGUAGGUAGCUCACAUGGUUCAUAUCCAUGAGGUCACAAGUUCGAGUCUUGUUUCUGCUA